rnacentral:rRNA from 1 species
GAUGAACGCUGACAGAAUGCUUAACACAUGCAAGUCAUUGGCGAAGCUGCGCUUGCGCAGUCUAGCCAAGGCGGACGGGUGAGUAACGCGUAAGGAACUUGCCCUGCAGACAGGGAUAACAGACGGAAACGACUGAUAACACCUGGUAUUGUCAGGCUGGCGCAUGCCGGCCUGAUGAAAGGAGACGCUGCAGGAGAGCCUUGCGUCCUAUUAGCUAGCUGGUGGGGUAACGGCCCACCAAGGCGAUGAUAGGUAGCCGGCCUGAGAGGGUGAACGGCCACAAGACGACUGCGAUACGGCCCUGACUCCUACGGGAGGCAGCAGUGGGGAAUAUUGGACAAUGGCGGCAACUCUGAUACAGCAGUUCUGUGUGCACGAAGAAGUUUUUCGGAUUGUAAAGUGCUUUCAGCAGGGCAGAAGAAAGUGACGGUACCUGCAGAAGAAGCGACGGCUAAAUACGUG